rnacentral:rRNA from 1 species
GACGAGGGGUCCUAGCGUUGUUCGGAAUCACUGGGCGUAAAGCGUAUGUAGGCGGGCUUUUAAGUCGGGUGUGAAAUCCCCGGGCUCAACCUGGGAAUUGCAUUCGAUACUGGAUAGCUAGAGUUCGGCAGAGGGAAGUGGAAUUUCUGGUGUAGCGGUGAAAUGCGUAGAUAUCAGAAGGAACAUCAGUGGCGAAAGCGACUUCCUGGACCAGAACUGACAAUCAGGCACGAAAGCGUGGGGAGCAAACAGG